rnacentral:siRNA from 1 species
GACAACGUAAGACUGGCCCUCGUU